rnacentral:rRNA from 1 species
UACACACCGCCCGUCACACCAUGGGAGUUGAUUGCUCCAGAAGUGGCCGUGCCAACCCGCAAGGGAGGCAAGCCCCAAGGAGUGGUCGGUAACUGGGGUG